UGUCAAAAGCCAGUAGGGACAGAAUAUCAGGAGCAGGACGACAUUUCAGAGAAGGAAGGUAAGGAAAGAAAAACGGGUCAAGUAUCAAGAACAAUGCACAAAGUUCACUAGAUAAUUUGGGAUUUCAGAAAAAUCCUUCAUUUUGACUAAAAGAGACAAAACUGGCAGAAAUUCACAGAAAAACCCCAAAUAAUAUCCACUGAAAAUACAAGAUGGUGGCAAAUUUUUCAAGAUGGUUGUCAAGAAAAUAGUGUUUUUGCACUACAUUUGACAACAUUUAACAGAUAAAACUUUUCUAAUCAUACAUAAGUGGACCUACAGAAAUUAUAUUUACUGAUAAUCUUGUGAUUUCUCAACUUGGCCACGUCAAAGAAAAGACAUUUUUGCACCAACACCCACCAGUCAGAUGAAUGGGUUGGUGUCAAAUCAUGGCUACAUAUUUGAUCCAUAGAAAUCUUCUUUUCUUCGUUUUGUGCUUUUUCUGGUGGAUAUUUUCAAAAUGGCUGCCACUGUUGCAAAUGAGAACAAAUGCUUGAACUAAAAUCAGCAGCAGUGCUGGACAAAGCUAACCAACAGGUGGGUUUAACAACCACUUGCUAACACUAAACACGAAUCUUAGCUCUGCUAAUGCCACUAAACACAUAGCUGACGCUAACUCUGAACUGCUAAGCUCAUUAAAGGAAUUAGUGGAAGCUAACGCUAACCAUUAAGAAGACUAUUUCUAAGUCUCUCGUGUUCAUCUCCUUCCAGAUGACGACAGCUGUGAGACUCGUGUGGAGAAAUAAAAACUCAACAAUCAAGUAUACUCAUGCUUUGAUAGAAGCUAGUCUCACUGAUGGAGGCUGUGAACCUCAACGCCGCUGCACUGUCAACAAACCCAGAAGCAAGCGCUGCAGGGAACUUACUGGGUGGCUUGUUGGCGGCCAGAUUUUUGAAGUGGAUGCCUUUGAUGAUUUCCACGGAGAGGCGGCCGGUGGUGGCGUUGUACACCAGGCCCACCAGGAUCUCCGGAGCCGAGGUCUGACUGCCGGACUGGAAGGACGAGGCGCUGUCGCUGCACGUCAGGUCAGACAGGCUGACCUGGGACUCCCCGCCCUGAAAACACCACAGCUGGACAUUAGGAAACGCCCCCAGUCAUCCACUGUGGGAAACUAGAUAUCGAUCAUCAUCGGAUUGGAGUCGGACUGAAGCGGACCGGAUUGUUUCAUUGAAACUGGAGUCCGUUGAACAAGAGAUCUUGGCUCAAUAGAACAAACUGUAUAAAUACAGGUGAAGUAAAGAGCAGUCAAUGAAAGCAGGGUGGGGAGUGCAGUGGUGUGUCUUACCGGGAGACUGCAGCAUGGAUCCAGGAUGACCGGCACAGACAUUUUGCCCUGGAGGUUGAGCUUGGUGAGGUAGAAGACCUUUUCUCCAAACACCUUCUCCUUCUUCAUGCGCCGGAUGCUGUAGAGGCGGAAACGGACGGCAUAGUUGCCGAUCAUGUCUGUCUCCACGUGGCUGAAGCGGAAGGUCUCGGUGAAGACGGGGCCGGGCCCUCGCUGGACGCCCGUCUUGGCCCUCUGCUUCUUGGUGGGCAGCAGCACCAGGUGCACCUGCCAGGAGAAGUUCCCUGUGUGUUUGAUGGAGGGCAGGUCGGUCACCGCCAUGAUGGUCACAGUCAGCUGCUGCUCCUCCGAGUCGUAGUCAAACACCACAUCCAGCGUGCCGUACUUGGUGAGGGCCUCGGGUUCGUAGCCUUUUGGGAAGCGUGCGGCUGACCCGCGGGCCGACGUGUCCUAGAGAAGGAGAGGUUCAGGUCCAGCAGGAGCAUCAGGCUAUCAGCAGAUCAAAGGCCGGCAUUUACCUCAGGGCUGAGGACGGCUGUGCUGUCGCUGGGGGCGUCCUCCUCGUAGCCUUUGUUCAGGUAGCCUUCGCUCUCCAGGCCGUCGCUGCCCUCGCUCAGGCACUUGCCAAAGGACAGGUGAGGACUGCCGCUGGUCUGGGAAAGGUCGCACUUGGCGUCGCCGAGGUCCGACAUCGUGCAGGACAUCCUGGGAGAACCGUUCUCAUCCUGGUAGGGAGGCGGCUGGAGCUCGUCCAGCGGCGGCGUUCUCCUCAUCCUCUGGAUGCAGUUGGCUGGUUGGAGAGAGUUUGGUGGCAUCAACGCUUCUUCGCCUCAGGCCAUCAUCCAUCCAUCCAUCCAUCCAUCCAGUGUGUUGCCAUGGUAACAUGGUACCAUCGUCUGCCGAGGCCUCACUGCUGUAGCCGUCUCCGGUCAGGGCUCUGUAGUUCUGCCGGCUCUCCCACCUGAAGCCCCCCCGGGGCCUGGCGCCGCCCACGGCCCCCGCUGCUCCUCUGAGGCCCUGGGAGCGGCCCACCGCCUCCUGGUACCGACCCAGCAGCUCGCUGUCGCUGUCCGAAGAAUCGCCGCCACUGCAAGACGCCGUUUCUGCUGGGGACAGACAGGAGGCUUAAGAACUGUGGAACUGGAACCCAGAACCAGAACCGGACUGUUUAACUGACUGUUUAGCAGGAUCUGGCAGUAUCCCAGUAGCAGUACCUGCUACUUGUGAGGAUCUGGGAGUUUUUGUGGGAAUAACUGGGAAUCAAGCCGUUGCCAUGGC